rnacentral:rRNA from 1 species
GGCUGCAACCCGCCUACAUGAAGUUGGAAUUGCUAGUAAUCGCAGAUCAGAAUGCUGCGGUGAAUACGUUCCCGGGCCUUGUACACACCGCCCGUCACACCAUGGGAGCCGGUAAUACCCGAAGUCAGUAGUCUAACCGCAAGGGGGACGCUGCCGAAGGUAGGAUUGGCGACUGGGGUGAAGUCGUAACAAGGUAGC